GUUAACAUGGCUUAGUGGUUUGAGUGUUGGACUAUAACUCUGGAGACCAGGGUUCAAGUCCCGCUCGGCCA